AGUUUCCAGAUCGAAAUUUAACAAACAUCAAUUUUUUUUAAAAAAAGCAGCAGUUUGAAGUUGUAUCCAAGUUUAAGUUACGUCAUAUCUAAAGGAACAUAUCAGUCUCCUAUGCCAGGAGGUAUACUGGCCGACAAUUAUUAAAUGGAGGAGAAUCAUUUAAAUAAACUGGCAUCGGAAAAAUGAUGAAAGAGGCAAGUCAAACAUACCCACCACAAAUAUAUGGUUAUCAACAAGUCAUCAAUCAAAAUAAUAUACAAGGGACAGUUCAGCACAUGUAUAAUCAAAAUAGUCAACCUCAACAGAUACACUCGUUUUCAGUACCAUCCACACACAUGACUCAGUAUGCUACUGCACAACCAUUUACUCCGGGCCAGAUGUAUAUUCAGAAUACAGAUCCGUCACAAGUAUAUACUAAUUAUAAUCGACAAUAUAAUAUAAAUGCUACCCCGUAUAGUUAUUCUUCAUUUACACCAGUUUAUCAAUCACACAGCUAUCCUCAUCAAACUCAGUCACCACAAUAUUUAGUUCAAGGGUAUCAAAAUGGUGUUAUUUUACAACCUCAGCAACAUCCUUCUCAAAAUCAGCGUGUUUAUACGCAACCAACACCUAGUCAGCAAAUACAACAGCAUAUUGUUCCAAUUCAACAAGCUCAAUUGCAACUUCAACCUGAAUAUCAACCGAAAAAAACAGUUGUCAAAUUUACUGACCCUAUAACUGGUGAUAGUAUCCCCAUUAAUAACCCUAAGAAAGAACAAGAAAAAGUACAUAUUCAUAUGGGUAAUCCUUAUAAUCCGAACAUUGCCUUACCAAUACCAGAUAAAAUCGAUGAUAAAAGAGCGCAAGUUAAUGCUAGUUUUGCUGCUCAGAUUGCUGCAAUAGCUGAAAAAAGUUUGAAUGAAGAACCAAAGGAAAGUGUGCCAUUGACAAUAAGCGAUAAAAACGAAAUAGUUGAAACUGUUACCUUAGAAGAAAAUAAUGAUGAGUCUAGCAUUGAUUUUGUUGAGCCUGAAAAUGAGGCGGAUACUGAACCAUUAAGUGAUAUAAAUAUAACUGAACCUGGGACCACCAGCCUUUUAGUUACUGAUGAUAGUCUUCAGGUUGACGCAUCUAACACAUCUGAUGUUGCUGUACAUGAAGAAGUAAUUGAGAAUAUUGACGAGAUACAAGCAGAAGCUUCACCUGAAGUUUUAGAUUCUAAUCCUCAGGUGGAGGAUGUGAAACCUUCUAUUACUUUAAAAACAGCCCAGCACAAGAAAAAAAAAAAGUCUUAUAAAUCAUAUGACAACAAAGAGGUUGGAGAUGAUAUACUUAGUGCAUUUGUUGACAAGCCGAAAGUUGAAGAAGUCCCUGAAACAAUUAAGGAAGUUAAAUUAGACAAUGAAACACAACCAGAAGAAGUAACAUGGGAAAAUAAGAUAAUUGAAAAUGACUUGAUCAAUAAGAAAGAUGAUGAAGAACAAGAUGUUCGUCCAAGACAAGUAGAAAUAAACGUAUUAAAAACAGAAGACACUCAAGAAAUUGACAUUGAUAAUGAAAAGCGACAAUACAAUCGAGACUUUUUGCUUCAAUUUCAAUUUGCUCCAAUAUGCACUUCUAAACCUCAAGGACUACCUGACAUUGAUAUUGUAUUAAAUGAGGCACAUGCUCCUACUAAAGCUUUAGUUCCUGGACAAAGACUAGCUUCUAAUGAUUUUAUACCUGGUUAUAUGAAACAAGCUGGUGGAGGAAGAUCAUCAGGAGGAAGAUCAUCAAAGGAAAAAGAGCGAAGAGGAGGAUCUGGUGGAGGAAGCUCUGGAGCUUCUAGUGGACAACAAAAAAAGAUUGUUGUUGUUCCCCAAUUUGAAAAAAUAGAGCUACAUAAGUCAGAAAAUGCAUGGGUUCGACCUGGUGAAUUGAUGAAAGAUUUGCCUGAAGAACAAAGAGAACGAGAUGAGCUCGCUAGAAGCAUACGUGGAAUAUUGAAUAAACUGACACCACAGAAAUUUAUAUCACUUCUUGACAAAAUGAAAGAAUUGAAAAUUGACACUAAAGAAAAAUUAGAAAUUGCAAUUGAUCUUAUAUUUGAGAAGGCAGUCAGUGAGCCAGUAUUCAGUGUGGCAUAUGCUAAUUUAUGUCAUCGCCUAAUUGAUUGUUUUAAACAACCCAUGACAGAUACUUCCACUCCUAAUGGCACAAUUACAUUUAGAAGGAUUCUUUUAAAUAAAUGUCAAAAAGAGUUUGAUAAAGAUAGUUCUGACGAGAAACUUUUAGAAGAAGAUAAAGGCAGAACAUUUGAUACUGAAGCAGAGUCAAAACUAUGGAAAGCAGAUUUAGACCAGCGUGAAAUAAUGAAUCGAAGACGGAUGCUUGGAAAUAUACGGUUUAUAGGAGAGUUGUUUAAGCUUAAAAUGAUAUCAGAGAAUAUUAUGCAUGAUUGUGUAAUCAAGCUUCUUAAAUGUGAAAAAGUAGAGUCAGCAGAAGACCAAUUAGAAUGUUUGUGCAAACUUCUUGCAACUAUUGGUAAAGAUUUGGAUCAUCCUAAGGCUAAGUUUCGUGUCGAUCAAUAUUUUGCUCAAAUGAGCAAAAUUAUUGACCGUAAGAAGAUAUCAACUAGAAUUAAGUUUGCUAUCAAAGAUAUCAUUGAUUUGCGUAGUUGUAAUUGGGUACCACGAAGAGAUGAUAGCAAUCCAAAAACAAUUGAUCAAAUACACAAGGAAGCAAAAGAUGAAGAAAAAGAAAUGGAAAAAAUGAGACAACAGGAUAAAAUGAGACCAAAAGAAAGAGGAUCUCAAAGAAGUAUUGGGCGUGAUAGUCCUGCUAUGCGUGGUGGUGUAAGUGGGCCUCCUUCAUCUGCUGAUGGCUGGACUAACAUCCCUUCAAAAUCUAAAAAUUUUCCUGCUACUCCAGUUGAUGCGAGCAAGUUUAAAAUUGCAAAGAAAGAUGACUCUGAAAAUAUAUCUCUUGGACCUGGUGGUUUCCGUUCUUCUUGGUCGAGGGGAGCUAGUGGUGGAAGCAGUCGUAGUAGUUCUGGUGCUCCUGCAUCUGUUGAAUCUGUUCAGAAUAGACAGGCAAAUCGUUAUGAUGUUCUUAGUGAACAAAAUCCACCAUCAGGUGUUGACAGCAAGCGAGGAAGUCGUGGAUCAAAUACUUCACGGAGUUCAGGUGGUAAAUCUAGUCGUGAAGAUCGCAGUGCUGCAAUUCGUGCUGUUCAGGAUAUAACUACAAUGAAAAACCAGUUUUCUAAACACAGUCAAAGUGGUCGUGAUAGUCCCCGAUCUGGUGCUCAAACUCCUGUUGAAACGAUGGAUGCAGCUGCAGAUGUUGAUUCUACAGUAAUAGAAAUCUCUGAAGAAGACAUGAGAAAAAAGACAAAAUCUACAAUAAAUGAAUAUUUAAGUAUAAGAGAUACAAAUGAAGCUAUAACUUGUUUAAAAGAAGUUAAUUGUUCAUAUCUUCAUUACAUGUUUGUUGAAGAAGCUAUUACAAUAGUUAUAGAAAUGAAAUCAGAAGAAAGAAAGUCCAUUGGAGCAUUGCUUCAUGAUAUGAUAAUUAAAAAUGUAAUAACUGUUGAUCAGUUAUGUAAAGGGCUUGCAUCUAUUGUGCAAAAUGCUCCAGAUUAUGCUGUUGAUAUACCACAUUUUUAUAAAUAUCUUGGGGAAGUGAUAGGUCCCAUGGUUUAUGAUGGUGCGCUUCCUCUAAAUAGAGUCAAAGACACUUUAGAACCAUUAGUCAAGCCAAACAAAGCAGGCGAUGUUAUGGCUGAGGCUUUAUCAGUAGCUGUUCAAAUUGCUGGUAAAGAAGAAUCAGUUAGUGAAUUGUGGUCUAAGUCAAAUAUUAAAUGGGAGAUGUUAUUAAAUAAUGAUGAAAAUGUAGAUAAAUUUAUAAAAGACAAAGUAAAAAAUGGAGUUUUUAAUGAAUUCAACUUCAAGUAAUAAAAGUCAUUCAAAUAAUGUUCUGAAAGGUCUAUUACGUAUACUUCAAGAAAAAGGCGACAAUAAUAAAAUAACAUCCUAUAUUGAUAGUGAAUGUAGCAAUUGUAAAUCUGACCCAUAUUUUAUAAAAGAUCUAACGUCAAUGAUUUG
rnacentral:misc_RNA from 1 species